rnacentral:rRNA from 1 species
UACGUAGGUGGCAAGCGUUGUCCGGAAUUACUGGGUGUAAAGGGCGUGUAGGCGGAGCUGCAAGUCAGAUGUGAAAUCUCCGGGCUUAACCCGGAAACUGCAUUUGAAACUGUAGCCCUUGAGUAUCGGAGAGGCAAGCGGAAUUCCUAGUGUAGCGGUGAAAUGCGUAGAUAUUAGGAGGAACACCAGUGGCGAAGGCGGCUUGCUGGACGACAACUGACGCUGAGGCGCGAAAGCGUGGGGAGCAAACAGG